AACUUUCGGGAUCAACUCAAGAGGUUGCAAAGCCAACUAGAGACUUUCCAGAAGGAGCUAAAAGAGGAGCAAGACCGAGCUAAGAAGCUAGAAGUUUCUUUGUCUCAGCAUCAGUUCGACUUGGAUAAGAGAUUCAAAGAAAUUAGGGAGCUGAAGAGUCAAGCUCACAAGAACUUCGAAAGUACCAAGUUGCUCGAUCAAGAGGUCACUCAGUGGGAG
rnacentral:lncRNA from 1 species